rnacentral:rRNA from 1 species
GACGAACGCUGGCGGCGUGCUUAACACAUGCAAGUCGAACGGAAAGGCCCAGCUUGCUGGGUGCUCGAGUGGCGAACGGGUGAGUAACACGUGGGUGAUCUGCCCCUAACUUCGGGAUAAGCUUGGGAAACUGGGUCUAAUACCGGAUAGGACAAUCGUUUAGUGUCGGUUGUGGAAAGUUUUUUCGGUUAGGGAUGAGCCCGCGGCCUAUCAGCUUGUUGGUGGGGUAAUGGCCUACCAAGGCGUCGACGGGUAGCCGGCCUGAGAGGGUGGACGGCCACAUUGGGACUGAGAUACGGCCCGGACUCCUACGGGAGGCAGCAGUGGGGAAUAUUGCACAAUGGGCGCAAGCCUGAUGCAGCGACGCCGCGUGGGGGAUGACGGCCUUCGGGUUGUAAACCUCUUUCGACAGGGACGAAGCUUUGGUGACGGUACCUGUAGAAGAAGCACCGGCUAACUACGUG